UACGUAGGUGACAAGCGUUGUCCGGAUUUACUGGGCGUAAAGAGCGCGCAGGCGGUCGUUCAAGUCGAGUGUGAAAGCCCCCGGCUCAACUGGGGAGGGUCACUCGAUACUGAUCGACUCGAAGGCAGGAGAGGGAAGUGGAAUUCCCGGUGUAGUGGUGAAAUGCGUAGAUAUCGGGAGGAACACCAGUGGCGAAGGCGACUUCCUGGCCUGUUCUUGACGCUGAGGCGCGAAAGCUAGAGGAGCAAACGGG
rnacentral:rRNA from 1 species